rnacentral:pre_miRNA from 1 species
UAUGUACUCCCUCCAUCCGGAAAUACUUGUCAUUGAAAUGGAUGUAUCUAGAUGUAUUUUAGUUCUAGAUACAUCCAUUUUCAUCCAUUUUGAUGACAAGUAAUUCCGGACGGAGGGAGUACUGA